rfam:Neotoma lepida isolate 417 scaffold_681, whole genome shotgun sequence.
GUUUUUUGCAGGGUUGUGUCGGGUCGCCUUCCUCGCGCACGGGAUUAUCCAUCUAGCGGAGCCAGCCUGAACGCUGGGCGCAUUUCCUUGAGAAUACUGGGGACCGAGAGAAGAGGCGGUUGGAAGGACCGGUGGGGAGUAAUAAAGUUUAGGAGAGGGUAUGGGGCGGCCUUCUGUACGUCUGGGCGGUCC